UUUGUUAUGUUCAUGUAUUAAAACAUAAUCGAACAAAACUUGGCCCAAGGGUUGUAUUUUUGUUGGCUAUGACAGGAAAGGAUAGAGAUGUAUGGAUCUAGAAGCAAAGGUCACUAUUCCUCGUGAUGUGGUGUUUGAUAUAAUGUCAUAUUACAAGUUUGAUGGAAAUGAAGGAAAAAUUAAGCACAGCUAAUCUUGAUUUUUCUACUGGUGAUUCUGCAUCCAGUAAUGGAGGGAGCAAUAUUUAUUCGUCUAAAGAAAAUAUUUAGAUAGAUGAGGGCACUGAGGCUGUCACACGAAAUUCAUCGAGAUAAAGAAAGCAGCCGGACUAUCUAGCUGAUUAUGAAAUUGAGUUUGUUGGGGAUCCUAGGAGUUCAAUCAACCAAAACAUCAACCCAUAGACAAGAUUCAAGGCAAAACAAGAAAAAAGGGGAUGGAAAAAUACAACCUGCAUUCGGCCGAAAUCUGUCCAGCUUUCCUUCCUCGUUUCAGCAGCUUCUUCUUUGAUUUAUGGGUGUUUUUCAGGCUCAGGAACAGCCUUCCAUGACUUGCUAAUUACCUUCCAAGAGAGAGGGGAAAACCAAUGAAGAACCACCUAGGGCUGGGCAAAUCUCCCGAACCGAACCGAACCCGAACCGAACCGAUCCGAACCCGACGGUUCUUGUCAAAUUAAAUACCCGAACGGGUAUCUGAAUUGAGAACCGACGGGUACGGUUCGGUUCUCGGUUCUAGACCAAGAACCGAAGAACCGAAUAAGAACCGAAUCUUUCUAUUUUUUUUAUAUUGAGUAAAUCAAAUUAUUUUAAUUUUAAUUUUUUCUAAACAAAUUAACAAAUCAAUGAUUUCUAAAUCCAAAUUUUUGGCCCAAUAAUUUGUUUCAUUUCUAAUUUUUUUAAUUUUUGGCCCAAUUACUCAUUUUAUUAUUUCAUUUCUUAGCCAAACAAGAUCAAAUAUACUAAAUAACCCUAAACACCUACAAUAAAGUGCAUAACGUUGUCUCGACUCUCGCACUCACUCUCGCAGCCUAUCUAAUAUUCCAAAACCUAUACAAUCGUCGGCCGACACUCUGACUUCCGAUCGAAGCCGUGACUUUCCCCGACUGAAACUUUGAUCGUAGCGAUCAUUUGAACAAAAUAGUUUACUAAUCUCUGACAUUCCAAAACUAUUGAAUGUAUCAUUAGUCGUAUUUAUAUAACGUUGUUAUAAAUGUUAAAAAAUUUAAUUAUAGUACAGAACCGAACGGAACCGAACCGAACCGAAUGGAACCGAACCCGAACGGUUCCAUAAUUAUAUUUGGACCUGACGGUUCCAUUUACUAGAGACCCGAAAAGUUUGGUUCGGUUCGAUUCUAAAGAGAACCGAACCGAACCGACCCGCGCCCACCCCUCAACCACCACCCUUUGCUAUGAAAACCGAGAGCUCCUCACUGCUGGGAAUAAAAGAGACCGAGAGCUGCACACCCUUUUGAAAUGGUAGAGAGUACAUAUGAAGGGGAAGGAAGGAAAGACCAUGCCUCUGCCAAAACGUGGGAAGACCUUAUUGUGUCACCAUCAAUACCAUCAAGUCACAACAUUGGGUGGGGUUAGGUGAACCAUAUCCUCACAUUCUUCACCUUGGUUCUCCUAACACUCUCUCUUGGUUGCGAAUUUGCACAUGGAAGAACUGUUCAUCAUCAUCACCCACCACCUGCAAGAAAAUUAACCAGUGUCAAUGUGUAAUAAAGAUAAGCACGAUCUAAAUUUACUUGCAGGUAGAAUUUUUGUUCCCAUGUCAGAGGGAUUCCUAUCAGUGUGAAUUUUAACAAGAUUAACUUCACCUUGAGACAGUUUCUCACGUAUAAAAUGAUACUUUACCUCAAUAUGUUUAGUUCUUUCAUGGUAAACAGGAUUUUUACAAAGCAAUAAAGCACUUUGACUAUCAGUAAACAUAACAGGUGUAUCAUGCAUGAAGUUCAAUUCUUUUAAAAUUCCUUUUAACCAAGUACAUUCUUUAGCCGCCUCAGUUAUGGCAACAUAUUCUACCUCAGUACUUGACAAAGUAACUAAAGGCUGCAGCUGUGACUUCCAUGUUAUACAAUUGUCACCUAGUAUAAAAAAGUACGCUGUGGUAGACUUUCUGCUAUCCUUGUCACCAGCAAAAUCAGAGUCUACAUACCCCUUUAGAGUAAAUUUUUCAGAUCUCUUUUCAUACACUAGACCCAGAUUUAAUGUACCAACAAUGUACCUUAACAACCAUUUCAGACCUGCCCAAUGAGGCUUUCCUGGGUUUGACAUAAAUCUGCCAAAAAACUUAUAGCAUAGGCUAAGUCAGGCCUGGUUGUUAUCAUAGAGAACAUGACGGAACCUAUAGCAUUAGCGUAGGGUAUGUUCCUCAUUUCUCUAAAUUCCUCCUCAGUCUUAGGAGAUUGUGCACCAGAAAGAUUCAUAUGAGCUGCUAAGGGAACGUUCACAGAUUUUGAUCCAUUCAUACCAAAUUUGGUUGUGACUUUGUUUAGAUAGGCUUCUUGGGAAAUGAAUAGUCUAUUUUCAGCCCUAUCUCUCUUUAUAACCAUCCCCAAAAUCUUCUUAGCACUCCCCAAAUCUUUCAUUUUAAAAGGUUCUUCAUCUUAGUGAUUUCAGUCUUACUUGAACUUGCUAAAAGCAUGUCAUCUACAUACAGCAACAAGUAGACCUCACAGCCCUCCUUACUAUCAUUAUAGUACAGGCAUGCAUCAUAUUCACUCCUUUUAAAACCUAUCUUCAGAACAUAGGUAUCGAACCUUAUGUACCACUGUCUAGGGCUUUUUGUAAGCCCAUACAGAGAUCUUUCUAAUUUGCACACACAGUUAGUUUUACCUUUCACCUCAAAACCUUGAGGCUGACUCAUGUAAAUAUCCUCUUCCAAUUCCCCAUGUAGGAAAGCAGUCUUGACAUCUAGUUGUUCCAGUUCCUAGUUGUACUGAACAACCAAUGCAAGAACCAGUCUGAUUGUUUUGUACUUUAUCACAGGAGAGAAUAUCUCAUUGUAAUCAACCCCCUCCUUUUGAGUGAACCCUUUCGCCACUAAUCUGGCCUUAUACCUAGGAGGAUCACUAGGAUUAUUUCCUUCUUUCAAUUUGUAAAUCCACUUACAUUGAACUAUCCUAUGAUCCUUAGGUUUGUUAACUAACUUCCAAGUUUUAUUCUCCAUUAGAGAUUCCAUUUCUUCCCGCAUAGCUUUUAGCCAACUUUCAGAACAUUUUCCAUUAACAGCUUCUUCAUAACUAGCAGGUUCUAUCUAUUCAAGGGCUUCACCUGAACCCAAGGCAAAAUCAGUCAAGUUUAGGGAUUCAUAUCUACGAUUUGGCCUGAUUUGCCUCCUCCCCCGAUCCCUAGUAAGCUGAUAAUCUUGAUUAGGCGGUUGAUCAUUAAAAUGUUCAACUUCAACUGGUUCAAUGUUAUCUUGAAGUUCAGUCACCUCUUCAGGUUCAGGUUCAGGUUCAAUUUCAAUUUCAUUUUCAUUUUCAUGAUGUAUAGGGUCAUUUUCGUCAUUCCCAGGUGUAGGUGAAUUUAGCCUAGUCAGCUUCACCUCAGUCUGAAUACUCCUCUCAGUUUCAGAUUUGUUAGUUUCUCUUCUCUUUUUAAUUCAAGUUCUCUUGAUUUUAAAGCAUCAGAAACAAUAGCUUGAGUGAGAGUGUCCCUACCAUACUUUAUGGCCUCUCAGUUUCAGAUUUGUUAGUUUCUUCGUUUUCUGUUUUAGACAUGGCAUCUCAGAUUCAUUAAAGACUACAUUCGUGCUGUUAAUAAUCUUAAUGCCUUGGACCCCUAAAACCCAUAACCUAUAGCCCUUCACACCCUCGGGAUACCCUAACAUCACACACUUGACAGCCCUGGGCUCAAGUUUCCAUUCAGAUUGAUGUGCAUAUGCAGCACAUCCAAACACCCUCAAGUGUUCCAGAUUUGGAGGCUCUCCCGUCCAUAACUCCUGUGGGGUCUUAAACCCUAUACUGCUGGACGGAGACCUAUUAAUCAGAUAAGCUGCAGUACUUGCAGCUUCAGCCCAAAAACCUUUCGCAAGGCCAGAGCUAAUCAACAUACANNNNNNNNNNNNNNNNNNNNNNNNNNNNNNNNNNNNNNNNNNNNNNNNNNNNNNNNNNNNNNNNNNNNNNNNNNNNNNNNNNNNNNNNNNNNNNNNNNNNNNNNNNNNNNNNNNNNNNNNNNNNNNNNNNNNNNNNNNNNNNNNNNNNNNNNNNNNNNNNNNNNNNNNNNNNNNNGAACCCAUUAUAGAUUCUAUAAAAGAGUGGCCUGUACUCGUGGACACAACAAAAUAGGUUUUGAAAAAUUAUUUUCCAGAUGAUCAAUAUAAAACUGAGUACCGAGUUUUAAAAACAAUUUUUAGAAAUGAAGCACAGCAGUGAAAUAAUCUGUUCACGAAACACAGGUAUAUAAAGCAGGUAAAUAUGCUUCCAGGUUACAAAUUAAUCACAAGAAUUCAAUCAACAGAAUUCACAAAUAAGCAACCAAGCAAUAAUCAUGCAUAAACUGGUAAGGAUACCAAACCUAACCUAACGGAGAGUUUGGAAUAAUCUUACCAAACUACUGUUGACAAACAGUAAAUAUACCACCAAGUUUCUG
rnacentral:lncRNA from 1 species